AAAGGUAAGCUACUAAGAGCGAAUGGUGGAUGCCUUGACUGGUAAAGGCGAUGAAGGACGUACUAGACUGCGAUAAGCUACGGGGAGCUGUCAAGAAGCUUUGAUCCGUAGAUUUCCGAAUGGGGCAACCCAAUGUAUAGAGAUAUACAUUACCUAUAUAGGAGCGAACGAGGGGAAUUGAAACAUCUUAGUACCCUCAGGAAAAGAAAUCAAUAGAGAUUGCGUCAGUAGCGGCGAGCGAAAGCGCAAGAGGGCAAACCCAGUGCUUGCACUGGGGGUUGUAGGACUGCAAUAUGCAAGAGGUAAGUUUAG
rnacentral:rRNA from 1 species